CUACGUAUGUCGCAAGCGUUAUCCGGAAUUAUUGGGCGUAAAGCGAGUCUAGGCGGCUUGUUAAGUCAGAUGUGAAAAUGCGGGGCUCAACUCCGUAUUGCGUUUGAAACUGGCAGGCUAGAGUACUGGAGAGGUGGGCGGAACUACAAGUGUAGAGGUGAAAUUCGUAGAUAUUUGUAGGAAUGCCGAUAGUGAAGACAGCUCACUGGACAGAUACUGACGCUAAAGCUCGAAAGCGUGGGGAGCGAACAGGAUUAGAUACCCUAGUAGUCC
rnacentral:rRNA from 1 species